ACAAAUUAAAUAUAAGUCUGCUCUUCAAGAGGUUACAUUCCAGUUAAGGAGAUUGCAUAUCCAUAUUUCCAGAAGUACCAAUGUGAUUGAAGCAAGGGAAAUUGCUAUGGGAUAUCUGACCAACUGGAUAUUCUGCUGGAAGAGCAGAAUGCACUUCAAAGACUAGCCAAUAAAACUCUCAUGGGCUCCUGACACACUGACCUCUGUCAGUUCCUUCAGCACACCAGGCUAAUCCCCAGUCUUGCGCCUUUGGACCAGAGGUUUUCUUUGCUCAGAAUACUGUUUCAACAGAUCUUUGCAUAGCUGGCUCUCGCUAUUUGACUAAAAUGUCAAUCCUCAGAGAGGAUGUAAGCUGUUUAAAGGCAAGGACCUUAUCUGUGUUACAUGCUGUAUUCCCAGGGCUCAGACAGAGCAUGACCUAUCGUAUGUACUAAAUAAAUAUCUCCUCAUACUGUAAA
rnacentral:lncRNA from 1 species